GGUAUAGUUCUUCGGAACUAGAGACCGGCGCACGGGUGCGUAACGCGUAUGCAAUCUACCUUUUACAGAGGGAUAGCCCAGAGAAAUUUGGAUUAAUACCUCAUAGCAUAGCAAUCUCGCAUGAGAUCACUAUUAAAGUCACAACGGUAAAAGAUGAGCAUGCGUCCCAUUAGCUAGUUGGUAAGGUAACGGCUUACCAAGGCUACGAUGGGUAGGGGUCCUGAGAGGGAGAUCCCCCACACUGGUACUGAGACACGGACCAGACUCCUACGGGAGGCAGCAGUGAGGAAUAUUGGACAAUGGGCGCAAGCCUGAUCCAGCCAUGCCGCGUGCAGGAUGACGGUCCUAUGGAUUGUAAACUGCUUUUAUACGAGAAGAAACACUCCAACGUGUUGGAGCUUGACGGUAUCGUAAGAAUAAGGAUCGGCUAACUCCGUGCCAGCAGCCGCGGUAAUACGGAGGAUCCAAGCGUUAUCCGGAAUCAUUGGGUUUAAAGGGUCCGUAGGCGGUUUAGUAAGUCAGUGGUGAAAGCCCAUCGCUCAACGGUGGAACGGCCAUUGAUACUGCUAAACUUGAAUUAUUAGGAAGUAACUAGAAUAUGUAGUGUAGCGGUGAAAUGCUUAGAGAUUACAUGGAAUACCAAUUGCGAAGGCAGGUUACUACUAAUGGAUUGACGCUGAUGGACGAAAGCGUGGGUAGCGAACAGGAUUAGAUACCCUGGUAGUCCACGCCGUAAACGAUGGAUACUAGCUGUUGGGAGCAAUCUCAGUGGCUAAGCGAAAGUGAUAAGUAUCCCACCUGGGGAGUACGUUCGCAAGAAUGAAACUCAAAGGAAUUGACGGGGGCCCGCACAAGCGGUGGAGCAUGUGGUUUAAUUCGAUGAUACGCGAGGAACCUUACCAAGGCUUAAAUGUAGAUUGACCGGUUUGGAAACAGAUCUUUCGCAAGACAAUUUACAAGGUGCUGCAUGGUUGUCGUCAGCUCGUGCCGUGAGGUGUCAGGUUAAGUCCUAUAACGAGCGCAACCCCUGUUGUUAGUUGCCAGCGAGUCAUGUCGGGAACUCUAACAAGACUGCCAGUGCAAACUGUGAGGAAGGUGGGGAUGACGUCAAAUCAUCACGGCCCUUACGCCUUGGGC
rnacentral:rRNA from 1 species